rnacentral:tRNA from 1 species
AUAGAAUAUUUAGAUCAGUACACAUGCAUGAAAUAGAAUACAAUCCGACCUUAGCUCAGUUGGUAGAGCGGAGGACUGUAGUAGACGCAGAUUAUCCUUAGGUCACUGGUUCGAAUCCGGUAGGUCGGAAUUUGCUCCCACACGAGAUCUUUUUAUUUUUCUUUCGUUGUGACAUUAAGGUUUUUAAAUUUUAUAAUAAACGGUUAUAUGGUGGUCGACAAUUAAACAUACCGAAAAGUUUUGCUCGAAUUCUUAAACGAUCCGUAUGUUUAGCUUUUUUCAAUAUUGAUACGAUGAAAAAUGAUUUAAAAGUGACUAAAAACUAUGAGUUUUCUAAUUUUCUUUGGUCAAACAAACAUUUAGUUUUAGAGUUUUAAAAAGAACAAAAAAUGUAUGCAUAAUUAUAUUCAAAUGCUUGUGGGUUGUGCCUAUAAGUUGUCAACGUUCAUACAAGGGUAGUGAAAUAACCUUUCCCACUCUGUUGCACGAUUUGUUUGGCUUUAUUUUCAAGAAUAUAAACAAUUAUAGCGCAAUCUCAAUAUUACAUGCAUAAAUAUAUCAUCAAAGUUGCUCUUUAGAAAUAAUUUAUUU